UCUCUCUCUCUCUCUCUCUCUCUCUCUCUCUCUCUCUCUCUCUCUCUCUCUCUCUCUCUCUCUAUCUAUCUAUCUGUCCAUCCGAUCUCAAGCACAGAUGGAAGAAAGUGCUAAGCCAAGAACUCUCUAAGUCGAUAUGCUGAAGUGAUCAAAGACAAAAGACAUUAGGAAAGGAAGCGAACAAGAAAGACAUGAAGUGUUUGUGACGCGAAAAGGACAAAAAAAAAAGACAGUGCGUUUUCAAAUAUAGACUAGAAAUGUGAACUGCAGUGUUGUGGUGAAGUGUUGUGACCAGGAGGAGGCAGUGUUGUGGUGAGGUGUUGUGACCAGGAGGAGGCAGUGUUGUGGUGAGGUGUUGUGACCAGGAGGAGGCAGUGUUGUGGUGAGGUGUUGUGACCAGGAGAGGGUUGAAAUGCAAAGGGUUUGUUGAUGACGUGGGAGAAUAGAUAAGUUGUGAGAAGAUCAGAUAAAUUGGUACGCAAGGAUAAGAAAGAUAAGAAAAUUUGCAGACACGAAAGGAAAAUAAAGUGAAGAGGAAGAACAUUAGGAAAAAAGAGAUGAUUAAAAUUACGUGAGAGAAUAGAUAGAUAGUGAGAAGAUAAGAUACCUAACUGCAAAAGGAUAAGGAAAGUUAGACACGAAAGGGAAAUAUAGUGAAGUGAAGAGGAAGUAAAUUAAGGAAAAGAGUGUUGAGAAUAGAGAAAUUGGUUUAAAAUGAUAAGAAAACAAAUACAGUCAAGAGGAAUUUAAAGAACGUUGCAAAAAGUCAAUUGAUGGUGAGAAGACAGCUAAAUUGAUACAAAGACUAAAAAAAAAAGAAAGUUAAUGACACGAGGGGGAAAAAAAACUAUAGCAAAAAUACAAUGAAAAAACAACGAGAAAAAGUUAGAAGAUUGAAAAAAAAGCGCGGGAAAAUUAGUGAAAAGAUACUUAAACUGAUACAAGGACAAAGAAAACACAAAAACACACUGAAACGAAAGAAAACAAUGAAACAACAAGCACACAACGAAAUAAAACAAAUAAAACAACAAAACAAGACAAAACACUAAGCUUACAAGUGAAGGAGUAACACCAUUCAUUAACCAAAAGAAGACCAAAACAAAAA